AGUGAACGCUGGCGGUAGGCCUAACACAUGCAAGUCGAACGGCAGCACAGUAAGAGCUUGCUCUUACGGGUGGCGAGUGGCGGACGGGUGAGGAAUACAUCGGAAUCUACUUUUUCGUGGGGGAUAACGUAGGGAAACUUACGCUAAUACCGCAUACGACCUACGGGUGACAGCAGGGGAUCUUCGGACCUUGCGCGAUUGAAUGAGCCGAUGUCGGAUUAGCUAGUUGGCGGGGUAAAGGCCCACCAAGGCGACGAUCCGUAGCUGGUCUGAGAGGAUGAUCAGCCACACUGGAACUGAGACACGGUCCAGACUCCUACGGGAGGCAGCAGUGGGGAAUAUUGGACAAUGGGCGCAAGCCUGAUCCAGCCAUACCGCGUGGGUGAAGAAGGCCUUCGGGUUGUAAAGCCCUUUUGUCGGGAAAGAAAAGCAGCAGGUUAAUACCCCGCUGUUCUGACGGUACCCAAAGAAUAAGCACCGGCUAACUUCGUG
rnacentral:rRNA from 1 species